CCUAACGAUCAACGAGGAGUAGGAGGACUUCAUCAAUUGUAUUCUCUCAAUCCCUCUUGCAGAUAGAAGUUGGAAAAAGUUGGUCGCCCUCAACAUCCUACACGCUUUCCGUGGUGGACCUGUACCGAUGGACGAAGCCUGACAGUUGGACGCUUAAUCUUGUUUACGUAAGUUUUAUUUCCCUUCUUACUUUGUUCGUCUAAUUAAUUGGUUCAUCGGCUUCAUUACCUGUGUGUUGGUUUCAAAAGGUCUCUGGAGGUGAAGAAGGCUACUGCUGCUGAUUUCAAAGCGGGGGGAUUGUUGGCCUUUUUAGCGAAGGUAGGCCCAAAGAAGAAAGGCCAGGGCAAUAAUGAUCGUCCAGCCAAGAAGGUGUCUGAUCCUUCUACCAGUCUAGACCAAGUAGGGCCUUCUUAGAAGAGCUCUAAACCCUCGCAUCAUGGCGUGGGUAAAGGUCUCAUGACCUUUCAAGGACCUGUCACCCCCGCACCCGUCGCCAUGCUCAUGAGAGACAAGCAGUAUAUUGUGGAGACGGCCCGAUCCAUUAUCAAGGAUGCGGACCUCGAUGAGUGCUCUAAGAAUGAGAUGGAGUCUUUGGGGGAUUCUGGUCUUUUUGACUUGACGAGGGCCUUAGUGAAGAUGCAAGCCCUACAAAUUAGGUGCAUAGCUCAGGAGGUGGUGGUCAGGCACCUGCAUACCCGUAUGGCUGUUGAUAGCGACAACUUGAAGAAAUUCAAGGAUGCCCUCCGUCUACUUAAUGGUGAAGUAAAUGAUCAGAAGGCCUAGUGAGAAAGGAGCAUCCAUCGGGUAGAAGAGUUGACCAAGGCUAACACUAACUUAACAACAGAGUUGGCUACCCUUCAUGAACAAGUCGACAUGGCCAAAGCCAACACCGUGGCGGAGUAUAAAUAUUCUCAGCCCUACUUCGAUGAGUUGGGUGACUAAUAUGGUGAAGGCUUUGAGGAAUUUUGUAAGCAGGUCAUUGCCUUCUUUCCUAGUUUGGACUUCUCUCAGAUCUGGAUCGACACCAUGGUCCCGAUGGCUCCUCGUAGGGGUGACGUGAUUGUGGAGGUUGAUGAUGACAGAGCUAACGGGUAAGUAAAGGGAGAGGAGGCUGGCUCGAUGAAUGAAAAGGCUGACGGAAAGGUGACUACUAUUGGUUAAAAUAUAUCUGAUGCUCCUCCAGCUUAGCUUUGUUAUCCCCUUUUUUUGCAUUUAUUAAAGUCAAUUUGAAAACAAUUUAGGUGCCUUGUUUUAGGCAUAAGUGACGUUUCAUGGCUUUGUCGGGUUUGAUGAAGUCUUUAUUUAUAUAUUUGCAUUCUCU